rnacentral:rRNA from 1 species
UACGUAGGCAGCGAGCGUUGUUCGGAGUUACUGGGCGUAAAGCGUGCGUAGGCGGUGCCAUAAGUCUGUUGUGAAAUCUCCCGGCUUAACUGGGAGGGUGCGGUGGAAACUGUGGUGCUGGAGUGUGGGAGAGGUAGGCGGAAUUCCUGGUGUAGCGGUGAAAUGCGCAGAUAUCGGGAAGAACACCCGUGGCGAAGGCGGUUCUCUGGGACGGUACUGACGCUGAGACGCGAAAGCGUGGGGAGCGAACAGG